rnacentral:rRNA from 1 species
UACGAGAGGCCCAAACGUUAUUCGGAUUUACUGGGCUUAAAGAGUUCGUAGGCGGCGCAGAAAGUAGGGUGUGAAAGCCCUCGGCUCAACCGAGGAAUUGCGCUCUAAACUACUGUGCUUGAGGAAGCUAGAGGUGAGCGGAACUGAUGGUGUAGCGGUGAAAUGCGUAGAUAUCGGAAGGAACACCAGUGGCGAAAGCGGCUUCCUGGUCCAGCACCGACGUUCAGGCACGAAAGCGUGGGGAGCAAACAGG